rnacentral:rRNA from 1 species
UACGUAGGCAGCAAGCGUUGUUCGGAAUUACUGGGCGUAAAGGGUGUGUAGGCGGUUGCUUAAGUUUGGUGUGAAAUCUCCCGGCUCAACUGGGAGGGUGCGCCGAAUACUGAGUGACUCGAGUGCGGGAGAGGAGAGUGGAAUUCCUGGUGUAGCGGUGAAAUGCGUAGAUAUCAGGAGGAACACCGGUGGUGUAGACGGCUCUCUGGACCGUAACUGACGCUGAGACACGAAAGCGUGGGUAGCAAACAGG